rnacentral:tRNA from 1 species
AAGGGAGACCUAAUUCGGGUAUAAGACGAAAAAAGAGUAGUCGAAACCAAGAAUCAAUCCCAAAAGGUCGGAACGAGGUAUGUGGCUUUCAAACUAGGUUCUGGGUUCACACAAGACCUGAAUCAGGAACAAGGGCUAUUAGCUCAGGUGGUUAGAGCGCACCCCUGAUAAGGGUGAGGUCCCUGGUUCGAGUCCAGGAUGGCCCACCUGCACAGGUGGCAAAAACAAAGAAGCGAGGAAUCAGCACCUUAUCUUAUCUAUAUAUAAGAGAGAAUGCUGGCUCUGAGUAAAGAGUCCAGAGGAACCUUGAAAACUGCAUAGAGCUGGGUGAAAAAGCCAAAAAAGAAGACCGCAA